rnacentral:rRNA from 1 species
AGUGAACGCUGGCGGUAGGCCUAACACAUGCAAGUCGAACGGCAGCACAGUAAGAGCUUGCUCUUACGGGUGGCGAGUGGCGGACGGGUGAGGAAUACAUCGGAAUCUACUUUUUCGUGGGGGAUAACGUAGGGAAACUUACGCUAAUACCGCAUACGACCUACGGGUGAAAGCAGGGGAUCUUCGGACCUUGCGCGAUUGAAUGAGCCGAUGUCGGAUUAGCUAGUUGGCGGGGUAAAGGCCCACCAAGGCGACGAUCCGUAGCUGGUCUGAGAGGAUGAACAGCCACAGUGGAACUGAGACCCGGUCCAGACCCCUACGGGAGGCAGCAGGGGGGAAUAUUGGACAAUGGGCGCAAGCCUGAACCAGCCAUACCGCGGGGGUGAAGAAGGCCUUCGGGUUGUAAAGCCCUUUUGUUGGGAAAGAAAAGCAGCAGGUUAAUACCCCGCUGUUCUGACGGUACCCAAAAAAUAAGCACCGGCUAACUUCGU